GACGAACGCUGGCGGCGUGGAUUAGGCAUGCAAGUCGAACGGUAGGAUACCUUCGGGUAUCUGAGAGUGGCGAACGGGUGAGUAACACGUAGGUGAUCUACCCUCAAGAUUGGGACAACCCAGGGAAACUUGGGCUAAUACCGGAUGAAAGCAGCAGUGAUGUUGUUUGAAAGGUGGCGUAAGCUGCCGUUUGGGGAUGAGCCUGCGCUCUAUUAGUUAGUUGGCGGGGUAAAGGCCCACCAAGGCGAUGAUAGAUAGGCGGCCUUAACGGGUGGUCGCCCACACUGGGAUUGAGAUACGGCCCAGACUCCUACGGGAGGCAGCAGUCGAGAAUAGUCUACAAUGGCCGAAAGGCUGAUAGUGCGACGCCGCGUGAACGAAGAAGCCCUUCGGGUGUAAGUUCUUUUAUAUGUGAGCAGUGCUUUCUAUGUGAACAGCAUGGGGAGAGAGAUAUUAGCAUAUGAAUAAGCAACGGCUAACUACGUGCCAGC
rnacentral:rRNA from 1 species